GGGUUGUGAGGUUAAGCGACUAAGCGUACACGGUGGAUGCCCUGACAGUCAGAGGCGAUGAAGGGCGUGCUAAUCUGCGAUAAGCGCCGGUAAGGUGAUAUGAACCGUUAUAACCGGCGAUACCCGAAUGGGGAAACCCAGUGUGACUCGUCACACUAUCAUUAACUGAAUCCAUAGGUUAAUGAGGCGAACCGGGGGAACUGAAACAUCUAAGUACCCCGAGGAAAAGAAAUCAA
rnacentral:rRNA from 1 species